rnacentral:tRNA from 100 species
AGGGGUAUAGUUUAAUGGUAAAACGAAGGUCUCCAAAACCUUUGAUGUGGGUUCGAUUCCUACUACCCCUGCCA